GUGAGAAAUAAAUAGGUGAAGCAACAAAGAUGUGCUUCUUUCAUAAGUUCUCGAAGGUUAAACAAUUAUUGUAAUUAUAAGAUGUGUGUUUAUACAAGGAUAAAGCAUUUCCCGUUUAGAAAAUUGAUCUGUUAAAUUUGUGAUAAUUAACUAAGGAUCAGAUGGCCAGCCACAAAAUCAUAAUGCCAGUAAUGACAAGUGGGCAUUGAAAAAUUCAAAUGAGGAAUGGAG
rnacentral:misc_RNA from 1 species